UACGAACCGUGCGAACGUUGUUCGGAAUCACUGGGCUUAAAGGGCGCGUAGGCGGGCCUUCAAGUCCGGGGUGAAAUCCUCCAGCCUAACUGGAGAAGAGCCUCGGAGACUGAGGGCCUCGAGGAGGGUAGGGGCAAGCGGAACUAUGGGUGGAGCGGUGAAAUGCAUUGAUAUCCAUAGGAACGCCGGUGGCGAAGGCGGCUUGCUGGACCCUUUCUGACGCUGAGGCGCGAAAGCCAGGGGAGCAAACGGG
rnacentral:rRNA from 1 species